UAGUUAAGUGGGAAACGAUGUGGGAAGGCACAGACAGCUAGGAGGUUGGCUUAGAAGCAGCCACCCUUUAAAGAAAGCGUAAUAGCUCACUAGUCGAGUCGGCCUGCGCGGAAGAUGUAACGGGGCUCAAACUAGGAGCCGAAGCUGCGGAUUUAAUUGUUUCAAUUAAGUGGUAGGGGAGCAUUGUGUAAGCCUGUGAAGGUGUGUUGUAAAGCAUGCUGGAGGUAUCACAAGAGCGAAUGCUGACGUGAGUAACGACAAAACGGGUGAAAAGCCCGUUCGCCGGAAGACCAAGGGUUCCAGUCCAACGUUAAUCGGGGCUGGGUGAGUCGACCCCUAAGGCGAGGCCGAAAGGCGUAGUCGAUGGGAAAUCGGUUAAUAUUCCGAUACUUGUUUAUGAUGCGAUGGAGGGACGGAGAAGGUUAUGCCAGCUUGGCGAUGGUUGUCCAAGUGGAAGGAUGUAGUUAGGUUUAGUAGGCAAAUCCGCUAGACUAUUAAUGAGAUCUGAUAGCAAGCUGUACUUGUACAGCGAAGUGGCAAAUACCCUGCUUCCAGGAAAAGCUUCUAAGCGAUAGUCAUAAAGAAAUCGUACCCUAAACCGACACAGGUGGUCAGGUAGAGAAUACCAAGGCGCUUGAGAGAACUCUGCUGAAGGAACUAGGCAAAAUGGUACCGUAACUUCGGGAGAAGGUACGCUGCCGAUGGUGAGUAGACAUGCUCUACAAAGCUAUUGGCAGUCGCAGAUACCAGGCCGCUGCAACUGUUUAUUAAAAACACAGCACUCUGCAAACACGAAAGUGGACGUAUAGGGUGUGAUGCCUGCCCGGUGCUGGAAGGUUAAUUGAUGGGGUUAGCGUAAGCGAAGCUCUUGA
rnacentral:rRNA from 1 species